rnacentral:rRNA from 1 species
GACGAACCGUCCAAACGUUGUUCGGAAUCACUGGGCUUAAAGGGCGCGUAGGCGGGUGACCAAGUCCGGGGUGAAAUCUUUCGGCUCAACCGGAAAACUGCCUUGGAUACUGGUCGUCUCGAGGGAGGUAGGGGUCUGUGGAACUGAUGGUGGAGCGGUGAAAUGCGUUGAUAUCAUCAGGAACGCCGGUGGCGAAAGCGACGGACUGGACCUCCACUGACGCUGAGGCGCGAAAGCUAGGGGAGCAAACGGG